GACGAACGCUGGCGGCGUGCUUAACACAUGCAAGUCGAACGGAAAGGCCCUGUUUUUGUGGGGUGCUCGAGUGGCGAACGGGUGAGUUACACGUGAGUAACCUGUCCUUGACUUUGGUAUAACUUCAGGAAACUGGGGCUAAUACCGGAUAGGAGCUCCUGCUGCAUGGUGGGGGUUGGAAAGUUUCGGCGGUUGGGGAUGGACUCGCGGCUCAUCAGCUUGUUGGUGGGGUAGUGGCUUAGCAUGGCCUUGACCGGUAGCCGACCUGAGAGGGUAACCGGCCACAUUAGAACGGGGAUGAGACACAGACUCGUACGGGAGGCAACGGUGGAGAAUAGUACACAAUGGGAGGAGGGCAGGUGUGACAAAGCAGCGUGGGGGGUGACAGCCUGCGGGUUGUGAACCAAAUUCGCCUGAGACGAGGCGUGAAUGACGGUAACGGGAGAAGAAGCACCGGCUAACUACGUG
rnacentral:rRNA from 1 species